rnacentral:tRNA from 1 species
GGUUGUGGCUCAGUGGUAGAGCAUUUGCCUAACACACACGAGGCCCUAGGUUCGAUCCUCAGCACCA